GGCGUGCCUAAUACAUGCAAGUCGAACGGGAUCGAUUAAUUCGGUUUUGGAUGAGAGUGGCGCACGGGUGAGUAACACGUAGCUGACCUGCCCUUUGCUGGGGGAUAACCCGGGGAAACCCGGGCUAAUACCGCGUAAGCUUGAUACUCUUAGAAGGUAUCGAGGAAAGUGUUUGGAAACGGCGAAUGAGGGGGCUGCGGGCCAUCAGCUAGUUGGUGAGGUAACGGCUCACCAAUGCGAAGACGGCUAGGGGGCCUGAGAGGGUGACCCCCCACACUGGGACUGAGACACGGCCCAGACUCCUACGGGAGGCAUGUCUGUAAGGAAUAUUGCCCAAUGGACGCCAGUCUGAGGCAGCAACGCCGCGUGGAGGAUGACGGUCUUCGGAUUGUAAACUCCUUUUCUGUGUGAAGAGAAAGGACGGUAGCACAGGAAGAAGUCUCGGCUAACUACGUGCCAGCAGCCGCGGUAAAACGUAGGAGGCGAGCGUUAUCCGGAGUUACUGGGCGUAAAGCGCGCGUAGGCGGUGGUGCAAGUGGUGCGUGAAAGCUCCUGGCUCAACUGGGAGAGGCCGUACCAAACUGCAUGACUAGAGAGAGACAGAGGUCGACGGAAUUCCGGGUGGAGUGGUGAAAUGCGUAGAGAUCCGGAGGAACAUCAGUGGCGAAGGCGGUCGGCUGGGUCUCAUCUGACGCUGAGGUGCGAAAGCGUGGGUAGCGAACGGGAUUAGAAACCCCGGUAGUCCACGCCGUAAACGAUGCAGACUAGAUGUUGGUAGCCGUAGAGGUUAUGAGUGUCGAAGCAAACGCGAUAAGUCUGCCGCCUGGGGAGUACGGUCGCAAGGCUAAAACUCAAAGGAAUUGACGGGGGCCCGAACAAGCAGCGGAGCGUGUGGUUUAAUUCGAGGCUACGCGAAG
rnacentral:rRNA from 1 species